rnacentral:misc_RNA from 1 species
GGCCACUGCAUCAGUUAAAUAUAAGCAUCCUUCCCCUUCUAUUGGGCAGGUUCUUUCAGAGGUUUGAAUCCAUGACCUACAGGUCACAAUGAUGACCAUGAGGCAUGCUAAAUAUCAAAUAAACGCCAGCGCAUAAAUUGUAACAGGCCAUCUGCUGCUAGAAGCCAAGUAUUUAAUUGAAGGACUCCACCAGGAGGUCCUCUCAACUCGUUGCUAGUUCUUCCAGAAGGGAUGGGAUUGAAACCCAUGAUAAAAGC